AAGAGUAGCUUAAAACUAAAGCAUCUGACCUACAAUCAGAACAUAUUACCAACCUAAUCUCUCUGAG
rnacentral:tRNA from 1 species